AAACCCUGUCCUUGGCAAGCAAAGGUCAAAAUUGAGACUUUACACCUGGCAUGUCCAAUGUCCGGCCAGUGGGCUAAAUACGGCCCAUGUUCAAAUUUUCACUGACCCGCAAGCUUCUGUCAUACAAUCAGUAAUACUUUCUGAGAACUAUGAUUUCUUGAUAAUGAAUGUCUAUAUUACGUUGUAAGCCAUAAUUGUAAACCUGUAACGACAUCCUGUGGCGACUUGACUUCAGAGCUUUAAGGGCCAAACCAGUAAAACAGAUUUGUUUCCUUGUUUAAAACCACAAUAAUCUCUUUUUUUGUGUUAUCUUCCUGUUUGCAUUUAGAAGUUUACAGUAAGCAUGUAGAAUACAGUACAGUAAUCAUGAAUAAUAUAUUAAGUUUUAUGUCAACCCAAAUUUAUUGGUAUUUAAAUUUUUUCCAGGCAAACUUUUUCUUCAAUUCCUUUCUGGUCUUCAAAUAAGAAAUUAUCGAUUAUUUUAGUAAACAUGUCUUUAGAUGUAUUUGUGUUCUAUGUGAAUAAAGAACAAGGAUCCUAUUGCAAAAAUAAUUCAUUGACUAGUUUGUUUGCAUUUACUGGGUUCAAUGUCGUGGUGCUUCUGUCAGUUCUCCUCCCCCUCCCCUCUCUGCUUGGCUCCUGAUGCGACUCAGCUGCGACCACUCAACUCAUCACCUGCCUGCCUUCAUAAGGAGAUCCUGGACCAGCAUUCAACACCAGUUCGUUGUCCCUGAUGGAAUCCAGUACCACGACUGGUCGCCUGAGUCUGCUGUAUUUCCGGAUCCCAGCCUCGUCAUUACCUCCUGUCAAGCCCCGAACCACGAGCCUCUGUCGGUACUCCAGUCUCGCCACGAGCCGCGGUCGAAACCACCAGUGACGUCACGAGCCACAGAAAACCUCAAUCUUCGUCGUGGGUCCUCCUCGGAGUCAUCUGUUUCGCCUACUAUCCACUGAACCACGAUCUGAAUAUUAAAUCCUUAUCAACUCACCACAAAACUCAUGUGUCUCCUCCCGGGUUCCAGCAUCUGGGUCGGUCUAGUUCCACUAGUCAUGACAUUCAAAAAGCAAAGCAAGCAAAAUUGUUGGCCCCAUACUUUCUCACCUCACCAAACCUGACAUCUUGUGGAGAUGUGGAAGUGUAGUAGCUGUAGAAUUUCCAACUGUGCUGGUAAGAGAUCAGAGAGAAUGAUGGGGUGGUCUGAGGAAUGGA